rnacentral:rRNA from 1 species
UACAGAGGGUGCAAGCGUUAAUCGGAAUUACUGGGCGUAAAGCGUGCGUAGACGGUUAUGUAAGUCGGGUGUGAAAACCCCGGGCUCAACCUGGGAAUGCCAUUCGAGACUGCAUAGCUAGGGUGCGGAAGAGGGAAGCGGAAUUUCCGGUGUAGCGGUGAAAUGCGUAGAUAUCGGAAGGAACACCAGUGGCGAAAGCGGCUUCCUGGUCCAGCACCGACGUUCAGGCACGAAAGCGUGGGGAGCAAACAGG